rnacentral:lncRNA from 1 species
AGGGACUACAUUGUUUGUAUUUGUACCAGAGUUAGAUGCUUACUGAAAGUAGUUUGAACGCAAAGGAUCUGUGCUCAAAUAAGCAUAUUAAGAUAGAAAAUAUAGAAGCUUUACAGCUUUAUUAUGCAAGAAAUGUAAAGGAAGAAGAAAAACUUUAGAGUGUCUUCAAGAUCAAAUCUCUAGAUUGUUUUCAUAAAGAGGAGAUUAGAUAGUUUUUAUUUGUACCAGAGUUAGAUGCUCACUGAAAGUAGUUUGAAAGCAAAGGAUUUGUGCUCAAAUGAGUUUAAAAUAUAAAGAAUAAAAUAUGAAAAAUAGUAGCUCAUAAAGCAUUAUUAUGAAGUUUUU